rnacentral:rRNA from 1 species
GAUGAACGCUAGCGGCAGGCUUAAUACAUGCAAGUCGUGGGGGCAGCAGGGGUAGCAAUACCCGCUGGCGACCGGCAAACGGGUGCGGAACACGUACGCAACCUUCCUUUAACUGGAGAAUAGCCCCUCGAAAGAGGGAUUAAUACUCCGUAACAUAUACAUGUGGCAUCACAAGUAUAUUAUAGCUCCGGCGGUUAAAGAUGGGCGUGCGCCUGAUUAGAUAGUUGGCGGGGUAACGGCCCACCAAGUCUGCGAUCAGUAACUGGUGUGAGAGCACGACCAGUCACACGGGCACUGAGACACGGGCCCGACUCCUACGGGAGGCAGCAGUAAGGAAUAUUGGUCAGUGGACGCAAGUCUGAACCAGCCAUGCCGCGUGGAGGAUUAGGGCCCUCUGGGUUGUAAACUCCUUUUAUCUGGGAAGAAAUGCAUUUUUUCUAAAGUGCUUGACGGUACCAGAGGAAUAAGCACCGGCUAACUCCGUGCCAGCAGCCGCGGUAAUACGGAGGGUGCAAGCGUUAUCCGGAUUCACUGGGUUUAAAGGGUGCGUAGGCGGGCAGGUAAGUCCGUGGUGAAAUCUCUGAGCUUAACUCAGAAACUGCCAUGGAUACUAUUUGUCUUGAAUAUUGUGGAGGUAAGCGGAAUAUGUCAUGUAGCGGUGAAAUGCUUAGAUAUGACAUAGAACACCAAUUGCGAAGGCAGCUUACUACACAGUUAUUGACGCUGAGGCACGAAAGCGUGGGGAUCAAACAGGAUUAGAUACCCUGGUAGUCCACGCCCUAAACGAUGAUUACUCGACAUCAGCGAUACACUGUUGGUGUCUGAGCGAAAGCAUUAAGUAAUCCACCUGGGAAGUACGAUCGCAAGAUUG